CAAUAGCGUAUAUUUAAGUUGUUGCAGUUAAAAAGCUCGUAGUUGGAUUUCGGUUAAGAGCGACCGGUCCGCCGUUUGGUGUGCACUGGCUGGUUUUAACUUCCUGUAGAGGACGUGCUCUGGGUUUAACGACCUGGACUCGGAGUCUACGUGGUUACUUUGAAAAAAUUAGAGUGUUCAAAGCGGGCUUACGCUUGAAUAUUUCAGCAUGGAAUAACACUAUAGGACUCCUGUCCUAUUUCGUUGGUCUCGGGACGGGAGUAAUGAUUAAGAGGAACAGUUGGGGGCAUUCGUAUUUCAUUGUCAGAGGUGAAAUUCUUGGAUUUAUGAAAGACGAACUUCUGCGAAAGCAUUUGCCAAGGAUGUUUUCAUUAA
rnacentral:rRNA from 1 species